UACGGAGGGUGCGAGCGUUGUCCGGAAUCAUUGGGCGUAAAGGGCGCGUAGGCGGCUUGGCAAGUCAAAGGUGAAAUCCCUCGGCCUAACCGAGGAACUGCCUUUGAAACUGCUUGGCUUGAGGCCGGGAGAGGGUAGCGGAAUUCCCAGUGUAGCGGUGAAAUGCGUAGAUAUACGGAGGAACACCUGCGGCGAAGGCGGGUAGCUGGGCCAACACUGACGCUGAGACGCGAAAGCUAGGGGAGCAAACGGG
rnacentral:rRNA from 1 species